AAAAAGGGCAUCUGCCGUGAGUGGCACGGGGAGGGCGGGUCACCGUCCGCCCUGCGGAAUCGCGAUCAAGAGAUUUCGGAUGCACAAUUUUUGUUAAGCGGGGCUGCUGAUGACCGCGAGUCUUGGCGCCCCA
ensembl:snRNA